GCAGCUCUGCGGCGCAGUGACGGGAGGUCGGACCGGAAACUCUCUCUCUCUUGUCCCGGAGAGACCGUGGUGAGCAGUCGUGCCCGCUCCCACGUCUCAACUGAACAAUGACUUCUUCAAGAUUAAUCUUCAGUACGUAGGAGUGCUGAUGAAGAUGGCUAACUCCAGCUAUGACAGGCACACCUGAUAAGAUGUAAGACCACUGCUGCAAACUACAGAUGACUACAGAUGACCUUAAGCUGCUCCAGAUGAGAUGCUGUGGUGACAGGAGAUGCACCUGAUGUAGUCGUGUGUGUCCUAUGCUGAUAAAGAGAUAAGCAGGAGCAGCAAUGGAGCAAAAACAUGAGUGUCUGCUUCAUCUCAGCCCUGGUUACAGAACCAGGUACUGAUCAGAAAGACAGCUAUGGGAAAACCUUGUUUGAAAGGCAUAAAUGAAGCGCAGGAUGUUCUGGUGGAGCUCAUCCAGGGUCACGUCUCUCCUGUGCAAACCAUCCACGUCUCCCAGGUCACAGGGAAACACUGCAUCAGGUGGAAUAACGAGAGCAGAGGCCCCUGUAGGAAGAGACAGACAUCCUUUGGAAAAAAAACUUGAAACAGAGCCAUCAUAAUGCUUAUUACAAAUAAGAAUGACUAAGAUAAAAACCUACAAUAAAGACAUGGUAGCCCUACCAUAUGUCUAUGCA